rnacentral:rRNA from 1 species
AUAUCUAGACCUGAUGGGAUCAAUAUCUCCGAUGGUAAGUUCUACCUAGGAGAUGCUUGAUAUGCAUGUCUAACUGGUAUUCCUCCACCCUUUAAGAAAACAAGGUAUCAUCCGAAUGAGUUCUCUUUUAGGAAUCAUCCUAGGACUGCUGCAGAAUUGUUCAAUCUCUGACACUCUAACCUUAGAGUUACGGGGUUUUUUGAAUUUGGAGGUCUGACGAUUAGAUUGAAGAUCCUGGAUCAGAAGGUAUUCCGCCCUUUCCCCACCAAAGUUAGGUUUGUUCUUGCAUGUUGCAUUCUCCAUAACUGGAUCCUAUAAUGGGGUUGCGAUGAGCUUGUGCCGGAGGAGAAAGAUGUGACGGAUGAUGAUGUUGAUGACUUCAUCCAGGGUGUGGAGGAGGAGUACGAGGAGUUGUACGAGGAGAACAAGAAUCUCUAUGGCUCCCCUCUGGCCCAUCUUCUGGCUCCUGCCUCCUUUUCUUCGGGAAAAUACUUUUGUCUUCUAUCGCAGUUUUGCUCCUAUUUUUCAGCCGUCGGGUAUUUUUCUGAGAAAUUCCCUUGCCAUGUAUUUAAGGCAAAUUAA